GAAAGUAAGACUAAUACCCAAUGAUAUCUCUAGAAGACAUCUGAAAGAGAUUAAAGAUUUAUCGGUGAUGGAUGGGGAUGCGUCUGAUUAGCUUGUUGGCGGGGUAACGGCCCGCCAAGGCAACGAUCAGUAGGGGUUCUGAGAGGAAGGUCCCCCACAUUGGAACUGAGACACGGUCCAAACUCCUACGGGAGGCAGCAGUGAGGAAUAUUGGUCAAUGGACGAGAGUCUGAACCAGCCAAGUAGCGUGCAGGAUGACGGCCCUAUGGGUUGUAAACUGCUUUUAUAAGGGAAUAAAGUGAGUCUCGUGAGACUUUUUGCAUGUACCUUAUGAAUAAGGACCGGCUAAUUCCGUGCCAGCAGCCGCGGUAAUACGGAAGGUCCGGGCGUUAUCCGGAUUUAUUGGGUUUAAAGGGAGCGUAGGCCGGAGAUUAAGCGUGUUGUGAAAUGUAGACGCUCAACGUCUGCACUGCAGCGCGAACUGGUUUCCUUGAGUACGCACAAAGUGGGCGGAAUUCGUGGUGUAGCGGUGAAAUGCUUAGAUAUCACGAAGAACUCCGAUUGCGAAGGCAGCUCACUGGAGCGCAACUGACGCUGAAGCUCGAAAGUGCGGGUAUCGAACAGGAUUAGAUACCCUGGUAGUCCGCACGGUAAACGAUGGAUGCCCGCUGUUGGU
rnacentral:rRNA from 1 species